rnacentral:misc_RNA from 1 species
ACUGGAUACGGGUUGACAUGGAUUAGGAUACAGUUCACAUAAAAGAAAACCCGGUUUGCUGUCACAUUGACAGCUUUUCACUUGUUAAUAUCAUCGCUUCAGUUUAGAUUUAUGUGUGCAUUACAUUAUAAAAAUACACCUCAUUUUAGUUGUUUUAUUUUGUAAAUUAAUUAUAUGAUUUAUAUGAAGUUUUGACUUUUUGUUUAAUUGUCUUAGUACCACCUGCAUACAACCAAGUUACAUACCCGAAUGACCAGUCAAACUUUACAUACGGGAACCAGUAUAAUCAGUAUCCUGGAAGUAGCCAGUAUCCCUCGCCAGGUGGCGCUCCAUACCCAGGCAACCAAUAUCAACCGCAAUACAACGCAGAUGGCCAAGUGAUGACAUCAGUGGUAUGAUCAAAUUUUAUUUUAAACAAGAGAUGUUUGUGAAACAUUUAUGCCCCCCUCCCUUGAUAUCAUCAUGAUAAACCUAUAUGUACCAAAUUUCAUUUCAAUAUGUUCAUCCUCUGCGAAGAAAAUGAACGGAAACUGUUUGUGGACCGACCGACAGACAGCAGCAAAGCAAUAUGCCCUCCCUUCUUCGAAGAGGGGCAUAAAAAUAUACAAAGAGACAUCAUUUGGAAUAUCGAUAUGAACACAAUAAUUCAGAAAAAGAGCAAGGAAUAUGAAGAAACGUCCGAAGUUCUCACGUCAUAUGACAUAUACACGUUUCUUUCUUUCAAUAAAUACUAUAUUUUUUUUACUUCAUUAUACUGAUAUCUAGAGCAUCUGUUUUAAGGUUACACAGCCUGGGGCUGUGCCUGUUGUUGUGAACCCCGUCCCACCUACAAAGGACUGGAUGGUUCCUGCUGUCCUCACUUGUCUGUGCUGUUUUUGGCCGACGGGGAUAUUUGCCAUAAUGGCCGCUAGCAGGGUAAAUAUUGCACAGUGUUCAAAUUAAUUGUUAUAGUACAUACCAGCAGCAAAUAUUCAACAUUUGAUUUCUGUUGUAGCUUGUAAGAAAUGGCCCCAUUCUAGUUACAUAUAGGAAGCGCACAUUUGGUUGGGUUUUUUUGUCAUUUGCGUAAGUGCAAGUUGUUAGAUAAGGUUGAAUUUUUCCUAUUACUCAAACAAGGAAAAAUUCACUCAUCAAGUAACGAAAUUGGGAAUUCUACGAGCAUCGAUUCUACACUAUGAUCAGCUACUGGUCAUUUAUAUGUUCGUAUUCUUAUUCUAAAAGCAGCUGGUCUAAACCGACAUUACAACCAAACAGUUUUGAGCGAAUUUCGAUUUAUCCCAUUUAACAGUUCCCUCUGUGUGUUUUAUGUUCAGUUUUUAGGGUUAAUGAUAAACUCAUUUUAAAAGUGUUGAGAAAACUUUGGCGAGUUACAUGCACCGACUAAUCUAUGUGUAAAUGACUUUACAAAAUCGCAUGGUUUUUUGAAACGAUAUUGCGAAAUAUUUUGCAGUUUUUUGUGUAAUUGUUUUAAUUUGUCUUCAUUGUGCGGUUUUUUUUUUUUAAUUUUUAACAGGCUAAUUCUGCAGCAGCCAGUGGGGAUGUAGUGGAAGCGACUGCGCAGUCAAGUCGCGCACGAACACUUGUGAUAGUUUCCAUCAUAGUAGGAAUUAUUGUGAUUACGGUCUCAGUUGUUUUACGCGUGAUUUAUUAUUCAUCAUAUGCAUACAGUUAAUGAAUUUUAAAAUAACCGGUUGGCAUGAAUCAGUAAAUUCUAUAUUUUAAAGUGACUUUUGACUUCAUAAAUCGCAUUGCAUAUCAUUUUUUUUCAAUCUAGAGAAAGUAAUGUGUCCUAUGCACAUGAUUUAAUGGAUACAUUUCCUUUUUAAGUGUAUAAUUUCAUGUACAUGGAUACAUGUACCACAAACAUGUUUGCUUUAAAGAAUUUUGUUUUUUUAUUACAAGUUAUAUAUGUUCUAUAUGGGAUGAUACUCAUUAUAUUUACUGACAGUGUGUACAGUUGUAGAACAUUUAAAUCAUGAAUUGAUCAAGUUAAUUGUUCAUGUGUAAUUUUACAUGGACAUGUUGUACAAAUCAUGUCUCAUUAUUGUCAAUACUCAUUCACGUUUUUAAUUUUGAUAUGGAUAUGUUUUAAUAAAAGAAAAUAAUUCAC